rnacentral:rRNA from 1 species
AUUGAACGCUGGCGGCAGGCCUAACACAUGCAAGUCGAAUGGUAACAGGAAACAGCUUGCUGUUUCGCUGACGAGUGGCGGACGGGUGAGUAAUGUCUGGGAAACUGCCUGAUGGAGGGGGAUAACUACUGGAAACGGUAGCUAAUACCGCAUAACGUCGCAAGACCAAAGAGGGGGACCUUCGGGCCUCUUGCCAUUAGAUGUGCCCAGAUGGGAUUAGCUAGUAGGUGGGGUAACGGCUCACCUAGGCGACGAUCCCUAGCUGGUCUGAGAGGAUGACCAGCCACACUGGAACUGAGACACGGUCCAGACUCCUACGGGAGGCAGCAGUGGGGAAUAUUGCACAAUGGGCGCAAGCCUGAUGCAGCCAUGCCGCGUGUAUGAAGAAGGCCUUCGGGUUGUAAAGUACUUUCAGCGGGGAGGAAGGGAGUAAAGUUAAUACCUUUACUCAUUGACGUUACCCGCAGAAGAAGCACCGGCUAACUCCGUG